AAAUCGUGGUUUGGACAUUAUGUUAGUUUUCCAUUGAAUCUUUCCCAUACUUCAUACAAAGUCUCUCUAUUUAAUUGUCUAAAGUUGAUGAUUUUAUCCCUCAAUUG
rfam:Capsicum annuum cultivar Zunla-1 chromosome 4, whole genome shotgun sequence